CUAAUCUUGGCCAAGAUAUCCGAUAUUGCGCCAAUAUUGUCAAGCAAUAUUACGCCAAUAUUGUCAUACAAUAUUGGCAAACAAUAAUGGGCCAAUAUUAUCCAUUAUCGUUUUACUGAUAUUGUUAUGCCAAUAUUGGCGAAAUAUUGGACGAAUAUUAUCCCAUUAUCGAUUUACUCAUAUUGUUAUGCAAAUAUUAGCGAAAUAUUGUUUGCCAAUAUUGGCUUUAUGUUAAGUUUUACAUAUUGGUACGCAUGCGUAACAUUAAUGAAUAUUCAUAAUGUAUUUUAGUUUUGUUAAAUGUGUUUAAAUGUAAAUAAUAGUAUCUUUUUACAUAAACAGGCAUCCUUAUGUUAUUAAUUUUUUUACAAAAAAAAAUGAGUUCAAAAUAAAAAAUUUAAUUUAUGAAAAGAGAAGAAGUAGGAAAAGUAUUUAUAAUUCAACAUUUACAGAGUGAAUCAGGAGAAGAAGUAAUGGUAAUUUAUUUUGAAACAGAUAUUAUCACAAGAAGAAGUGGUAAGAGUAAUAAAAUUCUUUUAUUCAACAUUACGAAUUGAAUUACAAGAAGAAGUGGUUGUAAUUAAUUUAAAACAUAUUGCAUCGGGAGACGAAUAUAAAAAAUAUUUCUAUACUUAAGCAUCAAGAUUAAAAUACUGAUGUACCGUUAAAAUGAAGGUGGUAAUAAAGUUUACAAAAUUUGCUCUGGCUGAAUUUUUCAAUGAAAAAACAAUGUGUGCCAUGAAUGUAAUCGGUUUUUCAUGGCAUAUCAAUAAAAGUUUGGUGUAUUGGCCAAAUCACUUGCAAGCAUCUUGCCUUUAAACUGCCAUACGUAAAGUCAAGCUUUUAAAAGUAACUGAAAGCAGCUGAAAAUAAUAAUUUUUUGAUGAGCUUUCUUACUACGGUUGGAGGAGAUGAGAAACAACUUACAGCGACAAUCUUAAUACAGUUAAUGGCCAAAGAAGUAUGUUUUUCAUACUCAGUGUAUGGAAGGAACCAAAAACGUCCUGCAAGGUCGUUAUAGAUUUGCGUUUAGUCAUUUAUCGUUGUAUUCGUUUCUUUCGAAAUUGCUACUGACAAAAGUAUUAAAGAAAAAAUUGGCAGCUUUCUGGCGACGGCCAUUGAUAGAGAUUACGGAAGAAAAAUAGAACCGUAACUGAGCAACGCCCAAUAUUGAGCAAUGAAAUAAGUAUCGCCAAAAUAAUGAAAGUCGAUGCCCACUAUCUCAUAACUAUAACCUGUUUAACUCAAAAGAAUAAUGCAGCCUAGUACUAUAGUAUCACUUAAACAAGAAAACUGUUAGU